AGGGAACAUUGGUAUAUUUUCCGGACACAGAAGCUAAGCUCUUAUUCGCUGAUGGUACUGCGAGUUCGCGGGAGAGUAAGUUAUUGCCAGGGUUUUUAUUUUAUACUUUAAAUCUUGAAUUUAUUUUUUAAAUGUUUAUAUUAUUUGAAUAAAACAUUCAAAUAAUAUAAAAAAUAAUAUAUAUAUUGACAUGGAUUAAACAAAGAUAUAUAUUAUUCUAUGUUGUAUAAACAAAUUGGCAAAAUAGAGAUG
rnacentral:misc_RNA from 1 species